UACGAAGGGGGCUAGCGUUGUUCGGAUUUACUGGGCGUAAAGCGCACGUAGGCGGAUUGUUAAGUGAGGGGUGAAAUCCUGGAGCUCAACUCCAGAACUGCCUUUCAUACUGGCAAUCUAGAGUCCGGAAGAGGUAAGUGGAACUCCUAGUGUAGAGGUGGAAUUCGUAGAUAUUAGGAAGAACACCAGUGGCGAAGGCGGCUUACUGGUCCGGUACUGACGCUGAGGUGCGAAAGCGUGGGGAGCAAACAGG
rnacentral:rRNA from 1 species